GCCAGCGCAGCACGACAGGUGGUGCAGCCGUCUCGUAAACGGCAGGUAGGGCGUUCGAGUCGCCCCGCUGGCUC
rnacentral:tRNA from 1 species